UACGGGAGGCAGCAGUGGGGAAUAUUGCACAAUGGGCGAAAGCCUGAUGCAGCUAUGCCGCGUGUAUGAAGAAGGCCUUAGGGUUGUAAAGUACUUUCAUCGGGGAGGAAAAACAAAACUAAUAAUUUUAUUUCUUGACGUUACCCGAAAAAGAAGCACCGGCUAACUCCGUGCCAGCAGCCGCGGUAAUACGGAGGGUGCUAGCGUUAAUCAGAAUUACUGGGCGUAAAGAGCACGUAGGUGGUUUUUUUAAGUCAGAUGUGAAAUCCCUGGGCUUAACCUAGGAACUGCAUUUUGAAACUGAAAUACUAGAGUAUCGUAGAGGGAGGUAGAAUUCUAGGUGUAGCGGUGAAAUGCGUAGAUAUCUGGAGGAUACCUGUGGCGAAAGCGGCCUCCUAAACGAAUACUGACACUGAGGUGCGAAAGCGUGGGGAGCGAAACAGGGAUUAGAUACC
rnacentral:rRNA from 1 species